rnacentral:rRNA from 1 species
AACGAACGCUGGCGGCAUGCCUAACACAUGCAAGUCGAACGAGACCUUCGGGUCUAGUGGCGCACGGGUGCGUAACGCGUGGGAACCUGCCCUUAGGUUCGGAAUAACUCCCCGAAAGGGGUGCUAAUACCGGAUAAUGUCUUCGGACCAAAGAUUUAUCGCCUUUGGAUGGGCCCGCGUUGGAUUAGCUAGUUGGUAGGGUAAAAGCCUACCAAGGCGACGAUCCAUAGCUGGUCUGAGAGGAUGAUCAGCCACACUGGGACUGAGACACGGCCCAGACCCCUGCGGGAGGCAGAAGUGGGGAAUUUUGGACAGGGGGCGAAAGCCUGAUCCAGCAAUGCCGGGGGAGUUAUGAAGGCCUUAGGGUUGUAAAGCUCUUUUACCCGGGAUGAUAAUGGCGGUACCGGGAAAAGGAGCCCCGGCUAACUCCUG